GCCAGGCGUGGUGGUGCACGCCUGUAAUCCCAGCUACUCGGGAGGCUGAGGCAGGAGAAUCGCUUGAACCCAGGAGGCGGAGGUUGCAGUGAGCCGAGAUUGCGCCACUGCACUCCAGCCUGGGCAACAGAGUGAGACUCUGUCUCAA
rnacentral:SRP_RNA from 1 species